rnacentral:lncRNA from 1 species
CCCUCUCCGCAGAUGAACAAUGGGCUCACGAAGUGGGGGCAGGACUCUAAUCUAGGAGAGAACUAAGUGAAGACUGGCCCUGCUAGUGACCUCACGGCCAAUACCAAAAGAAGCUCCACUGUACUCUGGGCGGCCUGACAGAGGAGGCCUGAAAAAAAAACUUCUGCCCUAAUGAAACUGGCCCCUAGAUGUAGUGCCAUUAUAACUGCCCGAAACUCGAGGCCUCUUUGCCUCCCUCUCCUCGAGCUCCAGACGGCGAUCCGUCUCAAUAUCGCUGGAUAUAUCCACCGCCUCCUCAAAGGUAUGACUCAGGACCCUUUCUCGAGUCAUCAGAAUUCAAAUGGCAUAAAUGAGCCCGUCCACAAAUCGUCUAAUCCUCUCCUGGUCUUUCUGGACCAUCCACGGAUCAUAUCAAGCUAAAUAUGCUAAUCUCAUCUCAUACGGCGUCGCAU